rnacentral:rRNA from 1 species
GAUGAACGCUGGCGGCGUGCCUAAUACAUGCAAGUCGAACGAACGGCCGAGGAGUUUUUUCCCCUGAUCAUAGCGGCUGGCGGACGAGUGAGACAUGGAUAACUUACCUAUAUGACUGGGGUAGAUAACAGAAACCAACGACAAUUACGACUACUUUUUUGAACCACUUGCAUCAAACUUGAAGGAAGGUUUUCGCGACAUUUCUAGAUGAGAUCGCGCUGCAUUAGCUAGUUGGUAAGGUAAGGGCUUACCAAGGCAACGAUGCAUAGCCGACCUGAGAGGGUGAUCGGCCACAUUGGGACUGAGACACGGCCCAGACUCCUACGGGAGGCAGCAGUAGGGAAUCUUCCGCAAUGGACGAAAGCCUGACGGAGCAACGCCGCGUGAGUGAAGAAGGUCUUCGGAUCGUAAAGCUCUGUUGUUAGAGAAGAACAGAUGAUAGAGUAACUGUUCAGAGCGUGACGGUACCUAACCAGAAAGCCACGGCUAACUACGUG